rnacentral:rRNA from 1 species
ACGGCUUGGCGGGCCGUGCCUAAUACAUGCAAGUCGAGGCGGUUAACACUUUCGGGUGUGACGAGCGGGCGGACGGCCUGAGUAAACACGUAGGAAACCUACCCCAGACUGAGGGGAUAAGCACCAGAAAUGGUUGUCUAAUACCGCAUAACCUCUUCGGAGGAAAAAGCUUCGGCGGUUUUGGGAAGGGCCUGCGUCCGAUUAGCUAGUUGGCGGUGGGUAAAAUGCCCACCAAGGCGACGAUCGGUAGCUGGUCUGAGAGGAUGAUCAGCCAGACUGGGGACUGAGAAACGGCCCAGACUCCUACGGGAGGCCUAGCAGUAAGUAGGGAAUUUUUCCACAAUGGACGAAAGUCUGGAUGGGAGCAACGCCGCCGUGGCAGGAUGAAUGCCUUCGGGUUUGUAAACUGCUUUUUAUUGUGUGACGAUUAUGACGGUAGCACUAUGAAAUAAGGAUCGGCUAACUCCGUGCCAGGCAGCCGCGGUCAUACGGAGGAUCCAAGCGUUAUCCGGAAUUACUGGGUGCGUAAAGAGUUGUGCGUUAUGGUGGCAUUGUAAGCGAGUAGUGAAAGCGUUUCGGCUCAAUCCGAAUACACAUUACUCGAACUGCAAAGCUUUGAGGACGAGAGUAGAGGCAUCUGGAAUUCCUAGUAGUGUGGGAGUGAAAUCCGUAGAUAUUAGGAGGAACACCGAUGGCCGUAGGCAGUCGGUGUGCUGGCUCGUUUUCCUGACACUAAGGCAUCGAAAGCGUGGGGAUAGCAAACGGGAUAGAUUAGAUACCCCGGUAGUCCCACGCCCGUUAAACUAUGGAUGCUAGCUGUUAUUCGGUAUCGACCCCCGGAUUUUGUAGCGAAGCUAAGCUAACGCGUCGUUAAGCAUCCCGCCUGUGGUAGUACUGAGCGCAAGCUUAAAACAUAAAGGAUAAUUGACGGGGGACCCCGCACAAGCGGUGGAGCGUGUCUGUUGUUUAAUUCGAUGGUAAACGAAGAAACCUUACCCAGGCCUUGACAUCCCUAGGAAGGUCUACGAAAGUAGACUGUGCCUUGUGAGCCUAGUGACAGGUGAUGCAUGGCCGUCGUCAGCUCGUGUCGUGAUGAUGUUUUGGUUAAGUCCAUCAACGAUGGCCGCAACCCUUAUGUUUAGUUGAAUUUCUCUAAACAGACUGCUCCCUGGUAACAGGGAGGAAGGGGGGGAUGAUGUCAGGUCAGUAUUUCCCUUACGUCUGGGGCUUACAAAACACGCUACAAUGGCCGGUACAAAGGGCAGCCAAUCCAGUCGCGAGACGGAGCAAAAUCCCAUCAAAAGCCGGUCUCUCAGUUCGUGAUAGGCAGGCUGAAACUCGCCUGCUUGAAGCCGGAAAUCGCCCAGUAAACGGUAGGUCAGCUAUACUACCGUGAAUACGUUCCCGGGUCCUUGUACACACCAGGCCCGUCAAACCAUGAAAGUCGCCAAUACCUGACGUGUUUGCCUUCGCGCUAGCCCUAAGGUAGGGGAGAUGAUUGGGUGU